AAUAGCUCCUUUGUGCUCUGUCUUCUGUCUUCAUGGAUGAGUUGGUCUAUCAUUCCCAGUUCUUAACUGCUCCUUCCAGAUCUAGCCAAUUAGCAUCCUUGGCUUCUGUAUCCAUGAAAUACUAAAGAAAGAAUGAAAUCCACCCUAAGAAGUGGGACUAUAAGACAAGAGUAACAUUGGAGAUUGAAUUCAAUGCUGAUGGUAUAAAGGAUUUAAACAAGAGAAGAUAUAGUCACUACGUUUCCAAUUAGACCUCCCUGGAGAAAAACUGGGGCAGAAAAACCAUAGUUCUUUCAUGUAUCAUGGACUUCUGCCAAGUCACCAAAGUUCACUACAGAACUAUGACAAUGGAGGCCAGAGUUGGUGGAAAGUGUAUUUUGCCCUUGUCAAUGACAAAGAAUGAAGUGAGCAAUCUUAGGAUGCCAUUUGGCUAUCACUGGCCCUAGAAGUCUUGCCUCCACAGUCUAUGGGAGUUCUGCAAGUCUGAGAAGAGAAGGUUGAAUAAUGAAUGCUACAGAAGUCACUGAGGUGGAAGCACAGCAGUUGUGAGGCAUUGAUGCUGCUUAAGUGUGGGGAGAAGAACCUGGAGGGAAACGAUGCUUUCUGAAGUGAGCCAUCUUCUCGAGCUCUUGAGCAGAUUUCAAAAUUGAAGAGCUUUGAAUUUUCAAGUACUUAUAUUACAAAAUCCUAUGUGGAUCUAAGAUCUUUGUCUGGAACAUGAACAUCUUGGAAUUUUAUUAUAUAUUGAUCAUUUUAUAUGUCAGAAACCCCAAGUCUAGAUAUGUCUAAGAUGGAACAUUUUGAAAUGUUUGUCAGUGUUAAAACUGAUUAUCAGAACUUAGUUCCCUCACCUUUGUCUAGAACAUGCUUUAAAAAAUAUUAUUACUUGGCAUUGUUAUUUGUCGAUAUAUGUUUUGCUUUAUUUUAUCUUUGAACUGUGCUUCUGACUAUUUUGACUAUUUUACAAUGGUUAAGAUGUUUGUAAAUACAAUGAAAGU